GAUGAACGCUGGCGGCGUGCCUAAUACAUGCAAGUCGAGCGAACAGACGAGGAGCUUGCUCCUCUGACGUUAGCGGCGGACGGGUGAGUAACACGUGGAUAACCUACCUAUAAGACUGGGAUAACUUCGGGAAACCGGAGCUAAUACCGGAUAAUAUAUUGAACCGCAUGGUUCAAUAGUGAAAGACGGUUUUGCUGUCACUUAUAGAUGGAUCCGCGCCGCAUUAGCUAGUUGGUAAGGUAACGGCUUACCAAGGCAACGAUGCGUAGCCGACCUGAGAGGGUGCUCGGCCACACUGGAACUGAGACACGGUCCAGACUCCUACGGGAGGCAGCAGUAGGGAAUCUUCCGCAAUGGGCGAAAGCCUGACGGAGCAACGCCGCGUGAGUGAUGAAGGUCUUCGGAUCGUAAAACUCUGUUAUUAGGGAAGAACAAAUGUGUAAGUAACUAUGCACGUCUUGACGGUACCUAAUCAGAAAGCCACGGCUAACUACGUGCCAGCCGCCGCAGUAA
rnacentral:rRNA from 1 species